UUAGAGUUUGAUCCUGGCUCAGGAUGAACGCUGGCGGCGUGCUUAACACAUGCAAGUCGAACGAUGACUUUUGUGCUUGCACAAAAUGAUUAGUGGCGAACGGGUGAGUAACACGUGAGUAACCUGCCCUUAACUUCGGGAUAAGCCUGGGAAACCGGGUCUAAUACCGGAUACGACGGAUCCCCGCAUGGGGGUCCGUGGAAAGCUUGAUGCGGUUUUGGAUGGACAUGCGUUGUAUUAGCUAGAUGGUGAGGUAACGGCUCACCAUGGCGACGAUACAUAGGGGGACUGAGAGGUUAACCCCCCACAUUGGUACUGAGACACGGACCAAACUCCUACGGGAGGCAGCAGUGAGGAAUAUUGGUCAAUGGACGCAAGUCUGAACCAGCCAUGCCGCGUGCAGGAAGACGGCUCUAUGAGUUGUAAACUGCUUUUGUACAAGGGUAAACCUCGGUACGUGUACCGAGCUGAAAGUACUGUACGAAUAAGGAUCGGCUAACUCCGUGCCAGCAGCCGCGGUAAUACGGAGGAUCCAAGCGUUAUCCGGAUUUAUUGGGUUUAAAGGGUGCGUAGGCGGAUUGAUAAGUUAGAGGUGAAAGCUCGGGGCUCAACUCCGGAACUGCCUCUAAUACUGUUGAUCUAGAGAGUAGAUGCGGUAGGCGGAAUGUAUGGUGUAGCGGUGAAAUGCUUAGAGAUCAUACAGAACACCGAUUGCGAAGGCAGCUUACCAAACUAUAUCUGACGUUGAGGCACGAAAGCGUGGGGAGCAAACAGGAUUAGAUACCCUGGUAGUCCACGCAGUAAACGAUGAUAGCUCGUUGUCGGCGAUACACAGUCGGUGACUUAGAGAAAUCGAUAAGCUAUCCACCUGGGGAGUACGUUCGCAAGAAUGAAACUCAAAGGAAUUGACGGGGGCCCGCACAAGCGGAGGAACAUGUGGUUUAAUUCGAUGAUACGCGAGGAACCUUACCCGGGCUUGAAAGUUAGCGACGGACUUGGAAACAGGUCUUCCCUUCGGGGCGCGAAACUAGGUGCUGCAUGGUUGUCGUCAGCUCGUGCCGUGAGGUGUCGGGUUAAGUCCCAUAACGAGCGCAACCCCUACUGAUAGUUGCCAUCAGGUUACGCUGGGCACUCUAUCGGGACUGCCUCUGUAAGGAGGAGGAGGGUGGGGAUGACGUCAAAUCAGCACGGCCCUUACGUCCGGGGCGACACACGUGUUACAAUGGUAGGUACAGAGGGCAGCCACCCAGCGAUGGGGAGCAAAUCUCGAAAGCCUAUCUCAGUUCGGAUUGGAGGCUGAAACUCGCCUCCAUGAAGUUGGAUUCGCUAGUAAUCGCGCAUCAGCCAUGGCGCGGUGAAUACGUUCCCGGGCCUUGCACACACCGCCCGUCAA
rnacentral:rRNA from 1 species